rnacentral:lncRNA from 1 species
AUUAGACCAUAAUAAUAGUAAGUAUGCUUAAUCAAAUUCAAAGAAACCUCAGAGAAAUUUCAAACAAACAAUAAGAAAUCUUAAAGAAAUAUUAGAAGGAUUACAAAUAUCACUCAAAUACAUCUCAAUUCAAUCUUAAUUUAAUUCUAGUUAAAAUCCUAGUGAACUUUAUUCAAACUUUAGGCCAAAACUAAUUUAAUCUUAAAUCCAAAUAAAAUCCUAAAUCCUAAAUCAAACCCUAAACAAACCUUAAAUCAAAUCCCAACCAAAUCCUAAUCAAAUCCUAAAUCAAAUCCUAAUUAAAUUCUAACCAAAUCCUAAUCCAAAUCCUAAAUCCUAAAUCAAAUCCUAACCAAACCUUA